rnacentral:lncRNA from 1 species
GCUGAAGGUUGCAAAAACUUUUUCACCUACAGAAGGAGGAGGCAGAAAGGAAGUGGAGUGACACAUCUGCUCCACUGCCCUUCACUCAGGGCCCCACUCUGCACCACUGGAGAAUGAGGAAAGACCGUGCUGAAGAUACCAUUUUCUCAAGUUUGUGUUCUUUGUUUUGGUGCACACCAAAACCUUGAGAUGUACUCCAAAUCACCACUAAUGAAACAUCCAUACAAAGCCUCUGGGAUUCUAAUCUGCCAAGCUGCACAUAGAUCUUGUUAAUUCCUGUUCGAGAAGCGAGUCUUCUGACUCAAAGUUAUACCCUAGAAUUUUUCCGUAUGAAGCUUUCACACUAUUGAGGACCAGAAAUGCAGAUCCAUUUGCUGAUGUGAUUUGACUAAUCCCACUAUAAUGAGGAAGCAGAACAGCUGAGAUGAAAGCCUGAGCCCCCACUGUGCAAAGGUAUGAACUAAUAAGCAAAUCUAAGCUAAUAUGUGGAUCUGGGCAUUCCCGGAGGGGAUUUGAUACAAACUAACUUUGGUGUUUUUGAUCAAAAUGGAUGCCAAAAACAUUACUGAAGGCUCCGAAAAUGAAGGCAAAACGUCAACAAGGCUACCACCUGUCUUUUCAUUCAUGACACCAUUAGCUCCUCGGUGCAAAAAUAAGAAGAAUAAAAUGUGCCAAGCUUCAAUACACAUCA